GAUGAACGCUGGCGGCGUGCCUAAUACAUGCAAGUCGUACGGAAAGGCCCUUCGGGGUACUCGAGUGGCGGACGGCUGAGUAACGCGUGGGAACGUGCCCCAAUGUGAGGGAUAACGCACCGAAAGGUGUGCUAAUACCGCAUUUGGUCUUCGGAUUAAAGCUUCGGCGCUCUGGGAGCGGCCCGCGUACGAUUAGAUAGUUGGUGAGGUAAUGGCUCACCAAGUCGACGAUCGUUAGCUGGUCUGAGAGGAUGAUCAGCCAGACUGGGACUGAGACACGGCCCAGACUCCUACGGGAGGCAGCAGUAAGGGAUCUUCCACAAUGGGGGCAACCCUGAUGGAGCAACGCCGCGUGCAGGAUGAAGGUUUUCGGAUCGUAAACUGCUUUUAUAAGUGAAGAAUAUGACGGUAACUUAUGAAUAAGGAUCGGCUAACUACGUGCCAGCAGCCGCGGUAA
rnacentral:rRNA from 1 species